rnacentral:rRNA from 1 species
CCUACGGGGGGCAGCAGUGAGGAAUAUUGGUCAAUGGGCGCGAGCCUGAACCAGCCAAGUCGCGUGAGGGAAGACGGUCCUAUGGAUUGUAAACCUCUUUUGUCGGGGAGCAAAAGACGCCACGCGUGGCGUUCCGAGAGUACCCGAAGAAAAAGCAUACGCUAACACCGUGCCAGCAGCCGCGGUACUACGGAGGAUGCGAGCGUUAUCCGGAUUUAUUGAGUUAAACGGGUGCGCAGGCGGAAGAUCAAGUCAGCGGUAAAAUUGAGAGGCUCAACCUCUUCGAGCCGUUGAAACUGGUUUGCUUGAGUGAGUGAGAAGUAUGCGGAAUGCGUGGUGUAGCGGUGAAAUGCAUAGAGAUCACGCAGAACUCCGAUUGCGAAGGCAGCAUACCGGCGCUCAACUGACGCUCAUGCACGAAAGUGUGGGUAUCGAACAGGAUUAGAUACCCGGGUAGUC